rnacentral:rRNA from 1 species
GAUCAUGGCUCAGGAUGAACGCUGGCGGCGUGCUUAACACAUGCAAGUCGAACGGAGUUAAGAAGGAAGCUUGCUUCAUUUAAACUUAGUGGCGGACGGGUGAGUAACGCGUGAGGAGCCUGCCCUUCAGUGGGGAACAACAACUAGAAAUGGUUGCUAAUACCGCAUAAUGUCGGAGAGCCGCAUGACAUUCCGACCAAAGGAUUUAUUCGCUGAAGGAUGGCCUCGCGUCCGAUUAGAUAGUUGGUGAGGUAACGGCCCACCAAGUCUACGAUCGGUAGCCGAACUGAGAGGUUGAUCGGCCACAUUGGGACUGAGACACGGCCCAGACUCCUACGGGAGGCAGCAGGUGGGGAAUAUUGGGCAAUGGGACCGAAAGCCUGACCCAGCAACGCCGCGUGAAGGAUGACGGUCUUCGGAUUGUAAACUUCUUUAAUUGGGGAAGAACAAAAUGACCUACCCAAAGAAUAAGUCACGGCUAACUACGUGCCAGCCGCGGC